GCUUGCUGCUUCGCUGACGAGUGGCGGACGGGUGAGUAAUGUCUGGGAAACUGCCUGAUGGAGGGGGAUAACUACUGGAAACGGUGGCUAAUACCGCAUAACGUCGCAAGACCAAAGAGGGGGACCUUCGGGCCUCUUGCCAUCAGAUGUGCCCAGAUGGGAUUAGCUUGUUGGUGAGGUAACGGCUCACCAAGGCGACGAUCCCUAGCUGGUCUGAGAGGAUGACCAGCCACACUGGAACUGAGACACGGUCCAGACUCCUACGGGAGGCAGCAGUGGGGAAUAUUGCACAAUGGGCGCAAGCCUGAUGCAGCCAUGCCGCGUGUAUGAAGAAGGCCUUCGGGUUGUAAAGUACUUUCAGCGGGGAGGAAGGUGUUGUGGUUAAUAACCGCAGCAAUUGACGUUACCCGCAGAAGAAGCACCGGCUAACUCCGUGCCAGCAGCCGCGGUAAUACGGAGGGUGCAAGCGUUAAUCGGAAUUACUGGGCGUAAAGCGCACGCAGGCGGUCUGUCAAGUCGGAUGUGAAAUCCCCGGGCUCAACCUGGGAACUGCAUUCGAAACUGGCAGGCUUGAGUCUUGUAGAGGGGGGUAGAAUUCCUGGGUAAACCGGGG
rnacentral:rRNA from 1 species